CAUUCCAACAUUCCAAGUUUGAGGAGUUCUCACACUUAGCUUAUAAAAAUGCCUGAAUAUUGGCGGUACGCAGCAAUUGGCGCAAUUGCCAUCGGGGGCGUUGCGGUCGGUUACGUUGGUUACACUUGUUGGCGUGGAAUUCAGAGAGAUAACCACGAAAGCGACGAUGUCGCGCAACAAGAGUGUCACACGUUCAACUUGAACAUGAAGUGAGCGAGAAUCUGGAGGAAGUUAACGUAGACAAUGAUCUAAAGAAGGUCAUUGUCAUAAAGUGCAUCCUAAACAAUGCCGAUACCAAGUCUGAUGCUUACAAUGAUAAAGUAACAAGAGAACUGAGAAACGAGUUAGAAAACUCCAACACACUUUCUGAUGGAUAAAAGUGACACGGACUUGUCGAGGCCGAAAAUACAUCCUUCGCAGCAGCCAGCGAGGCAAAGCCGUUCGCAUUCGAGAAUGCAGAUGUAACUCAGAAAGCUGAUAAGCCUGAUGGUUUUGCGGGUGAAAAGGUUAAGGACAAGGACGAGGAGUUUGAACGCAUCAUGGAAGCGCUCGCCUGCUGGGUGUUCUACCAAGGUAGGAGCGUGGAGGAGAUCAGGAAGGCUGAAGUUGAGGACCCCUGUGGCCAGUUGUGGUGGCCUUUAGAAAUAAAGUGCCCGAGGAUCACCCCCUCAGGAACAAGCAGUUUGCAGGGUAAAGCAGCGAAGUGCCAACUAAGAUCUCAUUUUGACUGGGUAAUUCCCUGAUAUUGACUUGAAACCUUUGAAGUUUUUGUUAAGAACAGAUAAUAGGAAUACUAUUAUAGUUGCCCAGAUUGGAAAAUCCCCUUGAAACACUUGCCUUGAAACACUUGCAUUUUGUUUGAAUAAUUAGAAGAGUACAACACAAAUCACUUUGUUUUGUAAAUCAAUGCCUUUGAAGUCAAAUUAUCACAGACGUAAUAAUAAAUGAUAAAAUAAUUAUGUUUUAAAAGAA